UGUACCUGCAAAUGAUGAUAAAUUACGUUGGUAGGGACAUCUGAGACUGUGAUGAAUGCCAACAAUUUCUGAGCAGGAUUA
ensembl:snoRNA